rnacentral:rRNA from 1 species
CAAGGAGUCUAACAUGCGCGCGAGUCGUUGGGUCGGACACGCUCCGCUAAACCCAUAGGCGCAAUGAAAGUGAAGGUCGCCCUCGCGGGACCGAGGGAGGACGGAGGCGCCCGNNNNNCUCGNNNNNNCGGGCGCCUCCCGCACUCCCGGGGCGUCUGAUUCCUCUUUCUGAGGGAAGGCGCACCCAGAGCGCUCACGUUGGGACCCGAAAGAUGGUGAACUAUGCCUGGCCAGGACGAAGUCAGGGGAAACCCUGAUGGAGGUCCGUAGCGAUUCUGACGUGCAAAUCGAUCGUCGGAGCUGGGUAUAGGGGCGAAAGACUAAUCGAACA